GACGAACGCUGGCGGCGUGCUUAACACAUGCAAGUCGAACGGAAAGGCCCUGCUUUUGUGGGGUGCUCGAGUGGCGAACGGGUGAGUAACACGUGAGUAACCUGCCCUGGACUUUGGGAUAACUUCAGGAAACUGGGGCUAAUACCGGAUAGGAGCUCCUGCUGCAUGGUGGGGGUUGGAAAGUUUCGGCGGUUGGGGAUGGACGCGCGGCUUAUCAGCUUGUUGGUGGGGUAGUGGCUUACCAAGGCUUUGACGGGUAGCCGGCCUGAGAGGGUGACCGGCCACAUUGGGACUGAGAUACGGCCCAGACUCCUACGGGAGGCAGCAGUGGGGAAUAUUGCACAAUGGGCGGAAGCCUGAUGCAGCAACGCCGCGUGCGGGAUGCCGGCCUUCGGGUUGUAAACCGCUUUCGCCUGUGACGAAGCGUGAGUGACGGUAAUGGGUAAAGAAGCACCGGCUAACUACGUG
rnacentral:rRNA from 1 species